UACGGGGGGGGCAAGCGUUGUUCGGAAUUACUGGGCGUAAAGGGUUUGUAGGUGGCUUGUUAAGUCAGACGUGAAAUCCCUCGGCUUAACCGGGGAACUGCGUCUGAUACUGGAUGGCUUGAGUUUGGGAGAGGGAUGCGGAAUUCCAGGUGUAGCGGUGAAAUGCGUAGAUAUCUGGAGGAACACCGGUGGCGAAGGCGGCAUCCUGGACCAACACUGACGCUGAGGAGCGAAAGCCAGGGGAGCAAACGGG
rnacentral:rRNA from 1 species